rnacentral:misc_RNA from 1 species
CAGCUAUACGUGAAUUUGGAUGUGUAUAUGCGGGACAGAUCGUGACCGUGUGGACGAAUUCACGUGGAUGGGAAACACGAGGAUGCGCUUAUGGGGCGAUGCUCGGAGUGAUUUGUGUUUGGCUCGUUUGGGUGGGAAUUCUCUACUGACUAGAGUGUUUGGGUUAAGGGAUUAGAAGUUGGGGACGAACACGGAUGACUUAGAUUUCGUUGAUAUUGGUUUCUUCGAUGUUCCUGGUAUCAUUGGUGAUUGGAAAGUGGAUGAGGAAGGUGAAGGAUCGGUUGACGCAGUGCACGAACGUAGUCGAGACUGGUGGCACUGUUCCGGGAGCACCGGCAGCGGGAUCAUGAAGAGCAGGACGGACAGCAUGCACGAUGCAACGAGGACCGCCUCGAGAUCGAUUCGAAGACCGUGGGAUCAGCUUGAUUACUAUAACGGAAAGCGGAUAGUGACGUGGAUGCCUGUCGCGCGAUUUACUCGGGCUUGAUUUCUAUCUGGCUUUAGUUUCAAUCGGAAAACAAUUGUCUAUCGAGGUUUAUUGUCGCUCAAUUAGAAACGCUACUAUUUAGAAGCUUGGAAACGAAGAUUCAAAGAUUUGAGAAUAAGAUUGGGAUUGAGUUUAAGAACGUAUUAAUAAUUAGGAAAUUAAGAAAGGAAAAUAAGUCCGAUUUAUAUUAAAUUAAACGAGAGGAAAAUGAACGUAGAAUAUGAGCUAAGGGUUUGGAAUUAAGAUUAGUCAACGAUUGACUAUAAACGACGCUCUUUACUGAAGGUUCUUGUAAGUUUAGAGCGAAGAUUUUGAGAGGUGUACAUAAAGUACUCUGGCAGUGCAUUACGAAAUCAAGAGCGAAAGAAGCGAGUUGUGAUUUGAAAACGAUCAUCGAUGUCUGACUAAAAACGAUCCUUACUGAGAGAUUUUCUCAAGAUUAUGGUUUGAAAAUUAGUCAACCAACGUCUGACUAAAAACAUAAUAAUUAUUAACAUUAUUAACAUAAACAUUAGAAAGUUUGAACAGCCACAAGAUAGUUUCAUAAUUGUGUGUUACGAAACCAAAAAUGGAGGAAAGUAAACUUGACCUCUGAUUUACUUCAACCAGAAUUCGAAAACGGGUGUCGAUAGAUGCCUAUUUUAAAACGAUAUUUCUCGCGAGUUUGAAACGAAGCUCGAAAGGUUUGAGAUAAUUGGGAAAUAUAUAAGGAAGACAAGAAAUAAGCAUCUUUAUCUCUGAUAGACUUACUCCAACUGAAAUUCAAAAAUGGUUAUCUAUUG